rnacentral:lncRNA from 1 species
AUGAAAAAUAUCUCACAGUGGAUUCUGCCGGAGUUAUUUCCUCUCCGGACAUUAUGCUAUGAAACAAUAAGCACACAUACUUUCUUACUGACAGACCAAACUGGCAUAGGCUCAUGCAGGAAGGGGACUGGGAACAUGUGGCUGGAGAUAAAGGGGGCACCCACAGCAGCUGACAUUCUCUACUGUUGCAGGAGGUUAACAUCCCCUAUCCUUUGAUGAUUUACAGCAGCAGUUCAUGCAGAAUUGUGUGACUAACAGUAUGGAGCAGAUCCAGCCUCAAUGGACAUGAUGCAUAUUUCCUUCAACCUCUGCAGCUCUUUGCCAAGUGCACUUCAAUUAUGAUUUGCAUCCUCAUUGUAAGUCCUGUCUUUCAUGUUUCCUGAAUAAAAACAAUCAUUGUUUGACA